CCUACGGUGUGCUGCAGUGGGGAAUAUUGCACAAUGGGGGAAACCCUGAUGCAGCGACGCCGCGUGAGUGAAGGAGUAUUUCGGUAUGUAAAGCUCUAUCAGCAGGGAAGAAGCAAGACGGUACCUGACUAAGAAGCCCCGGCUAACUACGUGCCAGCAGCCGCGGUAAUACGGAGGGGGCAAGCGUUAUCCGGAUUUACUGGGUGGAAAGGGAGCGUAGACGGUAUGGCAAGUUUGAAGUGAAAGCCCAGGGCUUAACCCCGGGACUGCUUGGGAAACUGUGAGACUAGAGUGCUGGAGGGGUAAGUGGAACUCGUAGUGUAGCGGUGAAGUGCGGAGAUAGUAGGAGGAACACGAGGGGCGAAGGCGGCUUACUGGACAGUAACUGACGUUGGGGCUCGAAAGAGUGGGGAGCAAACAGGAUGAGAUACCCGUAGUC
rnacentral:rRNA from 1 species